UUUACAUUCAGAUGCAAACCAUCACGUUCUAAGUGGUCCCCUUGGAGGAUGGGGACUGUUUCCUGUGAUGCCCCUGAAAGACACAUUUUGGGACGCCGUGUGGGGGCUCAUCUUCAAGCAGUUUAUAAGCAGGUUGGAGUGAACAUUUUCGAUCCGUGGCUCUAAAUGGCACGUGAAAAUGCAACCGCCUUUCCCCGACUGGAUCCUGUGCAUGGGCUUCCAAAGCAGAAUUGCUUUGAAUUACUGAGACGGGAGAACCAACUCAGAGAGACCCUGGAGCCAGGUAGAUGGAGAUCCAAAUGACAGCCUUACCACUGACAAAAGCUAACCCGGAAGAUGGACCUUCCAUGAACAGGCACAGCUGGCUAGAGGUUGUUCAUUCCUGGAUUAGACUUACCUCCCUGGACCAAGCUGGAAAAGCCUGGUCCAAGCUGCAGGCCUUCCCCAGCGUGAAGAACAGAGACUGUAUGUUCUUGGGACAAGCGGGAUCCAAAGAGGAGGAAGGAAG